GACAGAAGUCCCGAGCGUUAGGCGGAAUCACUGGGCUUAAAGCGUGUGUAGGCGGAGUGCUAAGUACCUUGUGAAAUCCCACGGCUCAACCGUGGAACUGCUUGGUAUACUGGUUCUCUUGAGCCACCUAGGGGCAACCGGAACAAACGGUGGAGCGGUGAAAUGCGUAGAUAUCGUUUGGAACGCCAAUGGUGAAAACAGGUUGCUGGGGGUGUGCUGACGCUGAGACACGAAAGCCAGGGGAGCAAACGGG
rnacentral:rRNA from 1 species